rnacentral:rRNA from 1 species
AUUGAACGCUGGCGGCAGGCCUAACACAUGCAAGUCGAGCGAGCGGCGGACGGGUGAGUAAUGUCUGGGAAACUGCCUGAUGGAGGGGGAUAACUACUGGAAACGGUAGCUAAUACCGCAUACCAUCAGAUGUGCCCAGAUGGGAUUAGCUAGUAGGUGGGGUAACGGCUCACCUAGGCGACGAUCCCUAGAUGGUGUGAGAGGAUGACCAGGCACACUGGAACUAGGACACGGUCCAGACACCUACGGGAGGCAGCAGUGAGGAAUAUUGAACAAUGGGCGCAAGCCUGAUGCAGCCAUGCCGCGUGAAUGAAGAAGGCCUUCGGGUUGUAAAGUUCUUUCGGUAGUGAGGCGUUAAAUACAGAAGAAGCACCGGCUAACUCCGUGCCAGCCGCCGCGGUAAUUC